rnacentral:rRNA from 1 species
GACGAACGCUGGCGGCGUGCUUAACACAUGCAAGUCGAACGGAAAGGCCCUGCUUGCAGGGUACUCGAGUGGCGAACGGGUGAGUAACACGUGGGUGAUCUGCCCUGCACUUCGGGAUAAGCUUGGGAAACUGGGUCUAAUACCGGAUAGGAGCCAUCUUUAGUGUGGUGGUUGGAAAGUUUUUUCGGUGUAGGAUGAGCUCGCGGCCUAUCAGCUUGUUGGUGGGGUAAUGGCCUACCAAGGCGGCGACGGGUAGCCGGCCUGAGAGGGUGUACGGCCACAUUGGGACUGAGAUACGGCCAAGACUCCUACGGGAGGCAGCAAUGGGGAAUAUUGCACAAUGGGCGCAAGCCUGAUGCAGCGACGCCGCGUGGGGGAUGAAGGCCUUCGGGUUGUAAACUCCUUUCGCUAGGGACGAAGCUUUUUUGUGACGGUACCUAGAUAAGAAGCACCGGCUAACUACGUG